GACGAACGCUGGCGGCGUGCCUAAUACAUGCAAGUCGAGCGGAACUGGGGGAGCUUGCUCCUCCCAGUUUAGCGGCGGACGGGUGAGUAACACGUGGGCAACCUGCCCUGCAGAUCGGGAUAACUCCGGGAAACCGGUGCUAAUACCGAAUAGUUUGGCGCCUCUCCUGAGGCGCUACGGCAAGCCGGUUUCGGCUGUCACUGCAGGAGGGGCCCGCGGCGCAUUAGCUAGGUGGUGGGGUAACAGCCCACCAAGGCGACGAUGCGUAGCCGGCCUGAGAGGGUGACCGGCCACACUGGGACUGAGACACGGCCCAGACUCCUACGGGAGGCAGCAGUAAGGAAUCUUCCGCAAUGGACGCAAGUCUGACGGAGCAACGCCGCGUGAGUGACGAAGGUUUUCGGAUCGUAAAACUCUGUUGUGAGGGAAGAACACGUACCAACUAACUAUUGGUACCUUGACGGUACCUCACCAGAAAGCCACGGCUAACUACGUGCCAGCAGCCGCGGUAA
rnacentral:rRNA from 1 species